rnacentral:rRNA from 1 species
GACGUAGGGGGCAAGCGUUGUCCGGAAUCAUUGGGCGUAAAGAGCGCGUAGGCGGCCCAGUAAGUCCGCUCUGAAAGUCAGGGGCUCAACCCCUGAAUGCGGGUGGAUACUGCUGGGCUAGAGUCCGGAAGAGGCGAGUGGAAUUCCUGGUGUAGCGGUGAAAUGCGCAGAUAUCAGGAGGAACACCGGUGGCGAAGGCGGAUCUCUGGGCCUUACCUGACGCUGAGGCGCGAAAGCUAGGGGAGCGAACAGG